rnacentral:rRNA from 1 species
AUUGAACGCUGGCGGCAGGCCUAACACAUGCAAGUCGAGCGAGCGGCGGACGGGUGAGUAAUGUAUGGGGACUGCCCGAUAGAGGGGGAUAACUACUGGAAACGGUGGCUAAUACCGCCUACUCUCGGAUAACCCAUAUGGGUUUAGCUAGUAGGUUGGGUAAAGUGUCACCUAGGCGACGAUCUCUAGCUGGUCGUAGAGGAUGCUCAGCCACACUGCGAUGGAGACCCGGCCCAGACUCCGACGGAGGCAGCAGUGGGGAAAAUGGCACAAUGGGCUCAAGCCUGAUGCAGCCAUGCCGCGUGUAUGAAGAAGGCAUUAGGGUUUUAAAGUACUUUCAGUGGGGAGGCGUUACCAGAAGAAGAAGCAACGGCUAACUCCGUGCCAGCAGCCGCGGUAAUAC